rnacentral:misc_RNA from 1 species
GAUGGCGCAGAAGAUUUGUAUCGAUUGCUCCAGGAUGAAGUGAAUUAGCAGUUAUAUUUACUCCAUCUUCCUUAAGUUGUCUUGAAAGCUCAUUAGCAUGCAAAAUGUUAGCCAACUUUGAUUGUCCAUAAGCACGUAUAGUGUUGUAUCCUGAUUCAUCAUUAAUUUUAUCAAAACAAAUUCCUUCAUGGUAUGCAAACCGGUGACCUUCUGAUGAUACAUUAACAAUUCUUCCCUCUUGAUUGCUUUCACGUGCUGUGUUUUUCAUGGUUUCCAGCAAAAGAUUCGUCAAAAGAAAAUGUCCUACAUGGUUUGUUGCAAACUGUAUUUCUAUGUUGUCUUGAGAAAGCGUGAAAGGAGUUGCCAUGAUGCCUGCAUUGUUAACGAGUAGAUUUAGUGGAAGACCCAAGGAUAUAUAUUCAGAAGCAAAUUUCCUGACAGAUGUCAUUGAGCUGAGAUCUAAGUGCAUAACAUCAAUCUUAGCAGUGGGGAUUUCCUUGAGUAUUGUUUCUUUGACAUUCUUACCAGCCUCCAAAUUCCUUACGGCCAUAAUCACAUGGACACCACGCAAAGCAAGAACUCGUGCUGUCUCCACACCAAUACCACUUGAUGCUCCUGUGACAAUAGCAGUGAGGCCAGUUCCAUCAAUCCCUUGUGAAACUUGCUCAGCUGUGGAACAGGCUGAGAACCCAGAAGCCCCUUUCCACCCAAAGAUCCACAUGUUGCAGAUUCCCAAACUAGAGAGUUAG